rnacentral:rRNA from 1 species
GCUAGCUAUUAAGCCUUCAAACCACCCUAAAAUAAAUCUACCUCAACUACCAUAAAAUAAAACAUUUUACUGCUUAAGUAAAGGCGAUUAAAAAACCUCUAAGAGCUUUAAUUCUAGUACCGCAAGGGAAAGAUGAAAUAUAAAUGAAAUAAAAUAAAGCAUAAAAUAAUAGAGAUCAAAACUCGUACCUUUUGCAUCAUGGUCUAGCAAGUCAUUAUCAAGCAUAGGGACACUCAAGUUUGAUUCCCCGAAACUAGGCGAGCUACUUCAAAACAGCAUCUAGAGCCAACCCGUCUCUGUGGCAAAAGAGUGGGAAGAUUUUCAAGUAGAGGUGAUAAGCCUACCGAGCCUAGAGAUAGCUGGUUAUUCAAGAAAAGAAUUUUAGUUCUACCUUAGGCACCCCCAUGAAUACAAACAAAACACUGUACUUAAGAGCUAUUCAAAUAAGGAACAGCUUAUUUGAAAAAGGAUACAACCUAGAUUUUAGGGUAAGACCCACAACAUAAAAUUAAUAAAGUAGGCCUAAAAGCAGCCAUCUUUAAAAAAGCGUUAAAGCUUAAUCUUUAGUGCACUAAAUUCCCCAUCUCACCACGAACCCAUCAUUAGUAUUGAAUAAACUCAUAAACUAUGAGAAUUAUUAUGCUAGAACUAGUAACAAGAAAAUGAAUUUCUCCAAAGCGUAAGCAUAAGUCAACAUGGACCACCCACUGACACAUAACGGUGCUGAAUCAACUAUAGUAAAACACCUAGAAAACUCUAUACCCCCCACCAUGCCGUUAACCUUACACAAGAACCCUUCUGGAAAGAUUAAAAGGAAGAGAAGGAACUCGGCAAAUAUUGGCCCCGCCUGUUUACCAAAAACAUCGCCUCUUGAUUAAAUAUAAGAGGUCCAGCCUGCCCAGUGUUCUAUAUCAACGGCCGCGUGAUUUAAGCGCGCGAAGGUAGCAUAAUAAUUUGUCCUUUAAAUGUGGACUAGUAUCAACGGCACCACGAGGGCCAUACUGUCUCCUCCCCCCAAUCAGUGAAACUAAUCUCCCUGUGAAAAAGCAGGGGUAAAACUAUAAGACGAGAAGACCCCAUGGAGCUUAAAACACAGCAUUAAUUCUAAUAACACCAUCAGUACAAUUUUAAAUAAUACAUGCUAGUUUUAGGUUGGGGUGACCGCGGAGUAAAACAAAACCUCCACAACGAAUAAGAGAUUAUCUCCUUAUCCAAGAGGCACUUCUCUAAGAAUUAUCUAAUAUAACGUCUAAUGACCCGACUAUCGAUCAACGGACCAAGUUACCCUGGGGAUAACAGCGCAAUCCGCUUUGAAAGCUCCUAUCGACAAGCGGGCUUACGACCUCGAUGUUGGAUCAGGGUAUCCCAGUGGUGCAGCCGCUACUAAAGGUUGUU